UCUGUGCGAUGUCAACCCCUCCCACCCAGGGCUUCAGCCUCCGCAGGGACGUCUACACCGACAUCCCCUCCCUCCUGAAUACCCUGCUGAAGGUGGAGGAGUGGGCGCUGGUGCUGCCCCAGAGGCCUGACACCCACCAGGUCCGAAUUCCCUGGUCGGACUUUUUUGAUCUUCGAGUCUGAACGGAAGCAUCCCCGUCACUGAGUACAGGCAGUUGACUGCAGGUUUGCCCUUUCCCCAGUACCGUGGUGAGCUAAGUCACAGAUGUUGGAACACCGAACCGCCCCUGCCUUCCUGAUGUGUGAUGCUGGACCCAGCGGAGACCCUCCUGCACGACCACUCCUGCGGGACGGAGCGCUGGGACAUGAGUGCUGCCUGGCAAGCGCCCGCACCCUCCUGUAGUUCUGCAAAACCCGAGACACUCGGCCCCUCUUGUUUUCAGCCUCGCGGCCUGAAGUUCAGAGGUCCCGGGGCCGUUCUUCCCUGAAGAUUAAGUGGAAACGUCCGUCUGCUAAGAGUCCGCCGGAGGAGGUGGAGCCCUGGGACUGCCUCUGCCUCAGAGCAGUGCAGACGGGGGCAGGUGUCCGGAGAGCGCGGGAGGCGUGUGGAGCGGCCCCUCAGCUCACCUGGGUGACGGUGAUGGUAACGCAGAGCCUGGGCUGCUCCGAGGCCCCGGCAGGACCGAGCCGCCGGAGACGCGCCGGGUGAGGAGCUUCGUCUCCGGGCUCCCUCCUCCCUUUCCCUUCCGUGCUCCCCAGGGGAGCUUUCCAGGCCACGCGUCACCCCUUCAAGUUCCCCCAGGCACUUGAGAGGUGGCUUUGCUCUUCCGGUUUCCUGUGCUUUCUGUGAAAGAACUUCAGGCCCCUGCGUUUGGGGGGAGAGCAUCUAAGUGUCACCAGCGUGUUCCCUAAGUGUUCUUUUCCAAAGCUGGUAUUCCUGGACGGGACCCAUGAGAUUCCCCCAUGAGAUUCCAUGUAUUCCUGGAGGGCAUCCCCACGCCCGGGCGUAAAGCAGCAUUAAUUGCCCCCCUUUGGCUGGGAAUCUUAGACCCCAGGCCUGUGACCCCGACUGCGGGCCCUCAGCCCCCCGGGCCGUUUCCCCAGGACCUCAGGAAGCCUCCUGGUGGCUGCCCUGCCAGCUCGGGCUUCCUGAAGUGCGCGUGCAGAGGAGACCCCCCGCCUAGUAGUGCGACCUUAGAAGGGCAGCAAUUCGCAGCUCUCACGUAACAGUUCCCCUGUCCAUCCAAAAACUGCUUCAAAGGUUCACGAUGGCUUUAAAGUCUGGCUGCCUGUCACCAGCCUUCAGUGCAACAACCCGAUCCCGGCCGAGUACCUAGAAAAGACGCUGAAGACGCCCUACAACUGAGAAGUUUGUUCAGAUGGGAAGGUGAAUGCAGUUCCUUGGUUUUUAGUGGAAGCCGCUCCCCCUUUACCAACAGCGCCCUUCGGGGCUGACUCAGUGUCCCCAUCACGCAUCUCCGUCGUGACAGCCUCCUAACCUUAGUUGGUUACUGAGUCCAGCCUCGCCGCACGACAGGCCAGUCAGACUGGGAGAUGAGGUGCUGGGGCGAGGAAUAGCAAGUUUAUUCAGAAAGCCGGCAGGCGGAGAAGAUGGGGCCUGAUGUCCUGGAGAACCACCUUCUCCACGUCAGAAUCCAGGCUCCUUUUACAGUGAGAAAGGGGGGCGGCGUGGUUGGUCGUUGCAAGCUGCUUGGUGUCAGAGCCCUUUGUCCUUGCAGCUGUCCACGUGGGCCAGGUCCUGGUGUCCCUGUAAGCCCCCAGCAAGACAGAUGUCCUCUGUUCUGCAACUUGUUAUCUUCAUGUGAAUGGAGAAGUGCUAAUAUCCUCAAAGGUCUGAGCCUGGAGAAUAGGCUCUCCUGUGCAUUUCAGGCUAAAGGCAACGCUGUUUCGCAGAAGGCGCAGAGCCAGCGAGACUGAGCCUAGAAGACAGGGCACAGGGUUAAAGCUAACAGAAUAGAUCUG